rnacentral:rRNA from 1 species
UACAGAGGGUGCGAGCGUUAAUCGGAAUUACUGGGCGUAAAGCGCGCGUAGACGGCUUCGUAAGUCGGAUGUGAAAUCCCCGGGCUCAACCUGGGAACUGCAUUCGAAACUGCAUUGCUAGAGUAUGGAAGAGGGAAGUGGAAUUUCCGGUGUAGCGGUGAAAUGCGUAGAUAUCGGAAGGAACACCAGUGGCGAAAGCGACUUCCUGGUCCAAUACUGACGUUCAUGUGCGAAAGCGUGGGGAGCAAACAGGAUUAGAUACCCUGGUAGUCCACGCCAUAAACGAUGAGAACUAGAUGUUGGGAGGGUUAGCCUCUCGGUGUCGCAGCUAACGCGUUAAGUUCUCCGCCUGGGGAGUACGGCCGCAAGGUUGAAACUCAAAG